UUUUGACCUCAUAUCAAGUAAGAUCACCCGCUGAACUUAA
rnacentral:rRNA from 1 species